CUCCAUCCCUUUUCCUUUCUCGUCGUUUCCUUCGACUUGUGCAGCAAUCAGCGGCGGCCAUGAUCCUGCCUUCCUUUCCUGCCGGUGGCGGCAGCAGCAGUGUGGCUCUGCGGUGGCCAUGGGCGGACAUGAUUUCAGCCUGCCCUUCCUGCCGGCGGCGGCAGCUGCAGGUGCGGCCCUUGCUCAUCCCCCAGCGCCCUCCCCCAGACUGCGUAUUGUCCCCCAGUGUCUUCUCUCGGACUGCAUCUUGUCCGACGGCAGCAAGUAGCAGCGAGGCGGCCCCUCUGUGGCCUCCUAUCCAAAUCAGAGACGAGUCACCGGGAGCGGAGGCGGCGCCCUAUGGCCUCCUUAUCCAAAUCGGAAGCAAAUCGCCGGUGCGUCAGGAUCAAAGUCUUGGCUGACUCUGAGUCAAGAGACAUCUGAAAAGUGCUUGGCCAUCUCCAAGGUAUUGUCGGUUGUCGCCGAGACGCUCCUCGACAUAGACGAAGUGGUGGCUUUGUGUCCUCUCAUGCAGCACUUCUGCCGUCACCAGCAGCACGGAGAUUACCUCAACGCCCUGCUGUUUAGCUUCUUACCUACGUCCUGGACACAAGGUAUGAACCAGUUUUUUAAUUUGCAGUGGUGCUGCACUCCUCUGGCCGUGGGCGGGCAGCGCACGGCAAACACGGCUCGAGGUUGGAGAAAAGCGAGGAUGGGAGACGAUUGAGAUUAGGAGCGACCUGGCCGGAGUUCGCCUCAAUCAGGUUCGGCCGCCGGAGAGAUUAAUUGUCGCCAUGUCGGAAUGACUAAGGAAAGGAGAGAAGGGAAGAAGGAAAAGAGGAGAACAAGAAAUAGGUUUGCGGAUGGGUCCCUUACGAAUGAAGCUGAGUCUUAAUCCAUCCCGUAUGCGAGUCGGACCAGCCCUACAUCCACGACUCGAUCAGGUAGAUCACUACAAAUUAACGCAUAGUCAACUAUACGUAUCUGAUAUUUACAAUUUUGUCCAUAGCAACACACACACUGGUAUUUACCUAUCUCUA